ACCUACGGGGCGCAGCAGUGAGGAAUAUUGGUCAAUGGCCGAGAGGCUGAACCAGCCAAGUCGCGUGAGGGAUGACGGCCCUACGGGUUGUAAACCUCUUUUGUCGGGGAGCAAGACCCGCCUCGUGCAGGCGGAGCGAGAGUACCCGAAGAAAAAGCAUCGGCUAACUCCGUGCCAGCAGCCGCGGUAAUACGGAGGAUGCGAGCGUUAUCCGGAUUUAUUGGGUUUAAAGGGUGCGCAGGCGGACCAUCAAGUCAGCGGGAAAAUCGUGGGGCCCAACCCCAGCCUGCCGUUGAAACUGGCGG
rnacentral:rRNA from 1 species